GGUGUAAUGGCCGAGAGGAUUAAGGCGUCACCCUGCUAAGGUGAAGCCCCCGCAAGGGGGCCUAGAGUUCGAAUCUCUAUUACACCGCCA
rnacentral:tRNA from 1 species